UUAAGCGACUAAGCGUACACGGUGGAUGCCCUGGCAGUCAGAGGCGAUGAAGGACGUGCUAAUCUGCGAUAAGCGUCGGUGAGGUGAUAUGAACCGUUAUAACCGGCGAUUUCCGAAUGGGGAAACCCAGUGUGUUUCGACACACUAUCAUUAACUGAAUCCAUAGGUUAAUGAGGCGAACCGGGGGAACUGAAACAUCUAAGUACCCCGAGGAAAAGAAAUCAACCGAGAUUCCCCCAGUAGCGGCGAGCGAACGGGGAGGAGCCCAGAGCCUGAAUCAGUGUGUGUGUUAGUGGAAGCGUCUGGAAAGGCGCGCGAUACAGGGUGACAGCCCCGUACACAAAAAUGCACAUAUUGUGAGCUCGAUGAGUAGGGCGGGACACGUGGUAUCCUGUCUGAAUAUGGGGGGACCAUCCUCCAAGGCUAAAUACUCCUGACUGACCGAUAGUGAACCAGUACCGUGAGGGAAAGGCGAAAAGAACCCCGGCGAGGGGAGUGAAAAAGAACCUGAAACCGUGUACGUACAAGCAGUGGGAGCCUCUUAAUGGGGUGACUGCGUACCUUUUGUAUAAUGGGUCAGCGACUUAUAUUCUGUAGCAAGGUUAACCGAAUAGGGGAGCCGAAGGGAAACCGAGUCUUAACUGGGCGUUAAGUUGCAGGGUAUAGACCCGAAACCCGGUGAUCUAGCCAUGGGCAGGUUGAAGGUUGGGUAACACUAACUGGAGGACCGAACCGACUAAUGUUGAAAAAUUAGCGGAUGACUUGUGGCUGGGGGUGAAAGGCCAAUCAAACCGGGAGAUAGCUGGUUCUCCCCGAAAGCUAUUUAGGUAGCGCCUCGUGAAUUCAUCUCCGGGGGUAGAGCACUGUUUCGGCAAGGGGGUCAUCCCGACUUACCAACCCGAUGCAAACUGCGAAUACCGGAGAAUGUUAUCACGGGAGACACACGGCGGGUGCUAACGUCCGUCGUGAAGAGGGAAACAACCCAGACCGCCAGCUAAGGUCCCAAAGUCAUGGUUAAGUGGGAAACGAUGUGGGAAGGCCCAGACAGCCAGGAUGUUGGCUUAGAAGCAGCCAUCAUUUAAAGAAAGCGUAAUAGCUCACUGGUCGAGUCGGCCUGCGCGGAAGAUGUAACGGGGCUAAACCAUGCACCGAAGCUGCGGCAGCGACGCUUAUGCGUUGUUGGGUAGGGGAGCGUUCUGUAAGCCUGUGAAGGUGUGCUGUGAGGCAUGCUGGAGGUAUCAGAAGUGCGAAUGCUGACAUAAGUAACGAUAAAGCGGGUGAAAAGCCCGCUCGCCGGAAGACCAAGGGUUCCUGUCCAACGUUAAUCGGGGCAGGGUGAGUCGACCCCUAAGGCGAGGCCGAAAGGCGUAGUCGAUGGGAAACAGGUUAAUAUUCCUGUACUUGGUGUUACUGCGAAGGGGGGACGGAGAAGGCUAUGUUGGCCGGGCGACGGUUGUCCCGGUUUAAGCGUGUAGGCUGGUUUUCCAGGCAAAUCCGGAAAACCAAGGCUGAGGCGUGAUGACGAGGCACUACGGUGCUGAAGCAACAAAUGCCCUGCUUCCAGGAAAAGCCUCUAAGCAUCAGGUAACAUCAAAUCGUACCCCAAACCGACACAGGUGGUCAGGUAGAGAAUACCAAGGCGCUUGAGAGAACUCGGGUGAAGGAACUAGGCAAAAUGGUGCCGUAACUUCGGGAGAAGGCACGCUGAUAUGUAGGUGAAGCGACUUGCUCGUGGAGCUGAAAUCAGUCGAAGAUACCAGCUGGCUGCAACUGUUUAUUAAAAACACAGCACUGUGCAAACACGAAAGUGGACGUAUACGGUGUGACGCCUGCCCGGUGCCGGAAGGUUAAUUGAUGGGGUUAGCGGUAACGCGAAGCUCUUGAUCGAAGCCCCGGUAAACGGCGGCCGUAACUAUAACGGUCCUAAGGUAGCGAAAUUCCUUGUCGGGUAAGUUCCGACCUGCACGAAUGGCGUAAUGAUGGCCAGGCUGUCUCCACCCGAGACUCAGUGAAAUUGAACUCGCUGUGAAGAUGCAGUGUACCCGCGGCAAGACGGAAAGACCCCGUGAACCUUUACUAUAGCUUGACACUGAACAUUGAGCCUUGAUGUGUAGGAUAGGUGGGAGGCUUUGAAGUGUGGACGCCAGUCUGCAUGGAGCCGACCUUGAAAUACCACCCUUUAAUGUUUGAUGUUCUAACGUGGGCCCCUAAUCGGGGUUGCGGACAGUGUCUGGUGGGUAGUUUGACUGGGGCGGUCUCCUCCUAAAGAGUAACGGAGGAGCACGAAGGUUGGCUAAUCCUGGUCGGACAUCAGGAGGUUAGUGCAAUGGCAUAAGCCAGCUUGACUGCGAGCGUGACGGCGCGAGCAGGUGCGAAAGCAGGUCAUAGUGAUCCGGUGGUUCUGAAUGGAAGGGCCAUCGCUCAACGGAUAAAAGGUACUCCGGGGAUAACAGGCUGAUACCGCCCAAGAGUUCAUAUCGACGGCGGUGUUUGGCACCUCGAUGUCGGCUCAUCACAUCCUGGGGCUGAAGUAGGUCCCAAGGGUAUGGCUGUUCGCCAUUUAAAGUGGUACGCGAGCUGGGUUUAGAACGUCGUGAGACAGUUCGGUCCCUAUCUGCCGUGGGCGCUGGAGAACUGAGGGGGGCUGCUCCUAGUACGAGAGGACCGGAGUGGACGCAUCACUGGUGUUCGGGUUGUCAUGCCAAUGGCACUGCCCGGUAGCUAAAUGCGGAAGAGAUAAGUGCUGAAAGCAUCUAAGCACGAAACUUGCCCCGAGAUGAGUUCUCCCUGAGACUUAGAGUCUCCUGAAGGAACGUUGAAGACGACGACGUUGAUAGGCCGGGUGUGUAAGCGCAGCGAUGCGUUGAGCUAACCGGUACUAAUGAACCGUGAGGCUUAACCU
rnacentral:rRNA from 1 species